AGGGGGGGAGGGGGGUCCUUCAGCCCAGAUUGCAAGAGGGUGCAGGCCAGGCCAAGGGAUACCACUGGUGCACA
rnacentral:pre_miRNA from 1 species